rnacentral:rRNA from 1 species
GGGAAACCGAGUCUUAACCGGGCGUUAAGUUGCAGGGUAUAGACCCGAAACCCGGUGAUCUAGCCAUGGGCAGGUUGAAGGUUGGGUAACACUAACUGGAGGACCGAACCGACUAAUGUUGAAAAAUUAGCGGAUGACCUGUGGCUGGGGGUGAAAGGCCAAUCAAACCGGGAGAUAGCUGGUUCUCCCCGAAAGCUAUUUAGGUAGCGCCUCGUGAAUUCAUCUCCGGGGGUAGAGCACUGUUUCGGCUAGGGGGCCAUCCCGGCUUACCAACCCGAUGCAAACUGCGAAUACCGGAGAAUGUUAUCACGGGAGACACACGGCGGGUGCUAACGUCCGUCGUGAAGAGGGAAACAACCCAGACCGCCAGCUAAGGUCCCAAAGUCAUGGUUAAGUGGGAAACGAUGUGGGAAGGCCCAGACAGCCAGGAUGUUGGCUUAGAAGCAGCCAUCAUUUAAAGAAAGCGUAAUAGCUCACUGGUCGAGUCGGCCUGCGCGGAAGAUGUAACGGGGCUAAACCAUGCACCGAAGCUGCGGCAGCGACACUCAGGUGUUGUUGGGUAGGGGAGCGUUCUGUAAGCCUGCGAAGGUGGCCUGUGAGGGUUGCUGGAGGUAUCAGAAGUGCGAAUGCUGACAUAAGUAACGAUAAAGCGGGUGAAAAGCCCGCUCGCCGGAAGACCAAGGGUUCCUGUCCAACGUUAAUCGGGGCAGGGUGAGUCGACCCCUAAGGCGAGGCCGAAAGGCGUAGUCGAUGGGAAACGGGUUAAUAUUCCCGUACUUGGUGUUACUGCGAAGGGGGGACGGAGAAGGCUAUGUUGGCCGGGCGACGGUUGUCCCGGUUUAAGCGUGUAGGUGUGUGUUCCAGGUAAAUCCGGUUCACUUUAACACUGAGGCGUGAUGACGAGGCACUACGGUGCUGAAGCAACAAAUGCCCUGCUUCCAGGAAAAGCCUCUAAGCAUCAGGUAACAUCAAAUCGUACCCCAAACCGACACAGGUGGUCAGGUAGAGAAUACCAAGGCGCUUGAGAGAACUCGGGUGAAGGAACUAGGCAAAAUGGUGCCGUAACUUCGGGAGAAGGCACGCUGACACGUAGGUGAAGUGAUUUACUCAUGGAGCUGAAGUCAGUCGAAGAUACCAGCUGGCUGCAACUGUUUAUUAAAAACACAGCACUGUGCAAACACGAAAGUGGACGUAUACGGUGUGACGCCUGCCCGGUGCCGGAAGGUUAAUUGAUGGGGUCAGCGCAAGCGAAGCUCCUGAUCGAAGCCCCGGUAAACGGCGGCCGUAACUAUAACGGUCCUAAGGUAGCGAAAUUCCUUGUCGGGUAAGUUCCGACCUGCACGAAUGGCGUAAUGAUGGCCAGGCUGUCUCCACCCGAGACUCAGUGAAAUUGAACUCGCUGUGAAGAUGCAGUGUACCCGCGGCAAGACGGAAAGACCCCGUGAACCUUUACUAUAGCUUGACACUGAACAUUGAGCCUUGAUGUGUAGGAUAGGUGGGAGGCUUUGAAGUGUGGACGCCAGUCUGCAUGGAGCCGACCUUGAAAUACCACCCUUUAAUGUUUGAUGUUCUAACGUGGACCCGUAAUCCGGGUUGCGGACAGUGUCUGGUGGGUAGUUUGACUGGGGCGGUCUCCUCCUAAAGAGUAACGGAGGAGCACGAAGGUUGGCUAAUCCUGGUCGGACAUCAGGAGGUUAGUGCAAUGGCAUAAGCCAGCUUGACUGCGAGCGUGACGGCGCGAGCAGGUGCGAAAGCAGGUCAUAGUGAUCCGGUGGUUCUGAAUGGAAGGGCCAUCGCUCAACGGAUAAAAGGUACUCCGGGGAUAACAGGCUGAUACCGCCCAAGAGUUCAUAUCGACGGCGGUGUUUGGCACCUCGAUGUCGGCUCAUCACAUCCUGGGGCUGAAGUAGGUCCCAAGGGUAUGGCUGUUCGCCAUUUAAAGUGGUACGCGAGCUGGGUUUAGAACGUCGUGAGACAGUUCGGUCCCUAUCUGCCGUGGGCGCUGGAGAACUGAGGGGGGCUGCUCCUAGUACGAGAGGACCGGAGUGGACGCAUCACUGGUGUUCGGGUUGUCAUGCCAAUGGCACUGCCCGGUAGCUAAAUGCGGAAGAGAUAAGUGCUGAAAGCAUCUAAGCACGAAACUUGCCCCGAGAUGAGUUCU